AUCUUUUUAGUUUAUUUAAAAUAUAACUUUGAAGCAGUUAAGAAUGUUAAAGAUA
rnacentral:tRNA from 1 species